rnacentral:tRNA from 1 species
AGCCCCGAGGUGAUUUAACACGUUAGAUUGCAAAUCUUAAGAAGCAGGCUAACUACCUGCCGGGGCUU